UAUGGUCAGUUAGAAUUUCAGAUAUUUCUCCAAAUGGUGGUUUGCUUACAACUUGCUUAAUUUGAAUCUAACAUCUCUUCUGGUGGCGGUUUCCAACAGGAACUCACAUCACUUAACUGUGGAGUUAUAUUCGCAGGCCAAUGUUUAGAACUUAUUCCAGAUUUCCAGAGUAUCUCUACUUGACAUUCUUCAUAUGUUCUUAGUGUAUUCUAUCUGUAUGUUGAGUAAACUCAUGGAAUAUUAUGUCAGGAUUAUUCAAUGUUAUAUCUGCAGAUUUAUUUUCUCUGUGAAGGUGAUGUUCUUCCAUUUUUAUGAAUUAGAUACAACAUCUGCUCCUUUUGGAAAAUACACCCCAGGAAGACCCUUUGGUGCCAGCCUGCGCAUCACCCCUGACUGUCCCACUGAAGCAACUACUGAGACUACCCCCGAGACUCUACUCAGCCCCACUGUGACUUAACCCUGUUGACAGCCACCCUUUCAACAGUUCAAGAUGCUGAGGAUCCAUGUAUAUAGUCACAGUCUCCACGCAGCUCCUGCACACCCCAGCGCAUCCAGCCCGAGCAAUUCCAAAUUCUCUGCGCGCUUUCCCAGCCACCCCCAGGAUCCCGCCAGUACAUUUCCAGCCAUUACAGGAAGAGCUGAGGGAGAGCUACUGACUAAGCAGUAAGCAAGUUUCAAAUUAAAGGAGAUAAAAAUUACUUUCAAAAUAUAUAAAGUAUCAACAAUG